GGGUUGUGAGGUUAAGCGACUAAGCGUACACGGUGGAUGCCCUGGCAGUCAGAGGCGAUGAAGGGCGUGCUAAUCUGCGAUAAGCGCCGGUAAGGUGAUAUGAACCGUUAUAACCGGCGAUACCCGAAUGGGGAAACCCAGUGUGACUCGUCACACUAUCAUUAACUGAAUCCAUAGGUUAAUGAGGCGAACCGGGGGAACUGAAACAUCUAAGUACCCCGAGGAAAAGAAAUCAACCGAGAUUCCCCCAGUAGCGGCGAGCGAACGGGGAGGAGCCCAGAGCCUGAAUCAGCAUGUGUGUUAGUGGAAGCGUCUGGAAAGGCGCGCGAUACAGGGUGACAGCCCCGUACACAAAAGCGCAUGUGCUGUGAGCUCGAUGAGUAGGGCGGGACACGUGGUAUCCUGUCUGAAUAUGGGGGGACCAUCCUCCAAGGCUAAAUACUCCUGACUGACCGAUAGUGAACCAGUACCGUGAGGGAAAGGCGAAAAGAACCCCGGCGAGGGGAGUGAAAAAGAACCUGAAACCGUGUACGUACAAGCAGUGGGAGCACAGGUUUACCUGUGUGACUGCGUACCUUUUGUAUAAUGGGUCAGCGACUUAUAUUCUGUAGCAAGGUUAACCGUAUAGGGGAGCCGUAGGGAAACCGAGUCUUAACCGGGCGUUAAGUUGCAGGGUAUAGACCCGAAACCCGGUGAUCUAGCCAUGGGCAGGUUGAAGGUUGGGUAACACUAACUGGAGGACCGAACCGACUAAUGUUGAAAAAUUAGCGGAUGACCUGUGGCUGGGGGUGAAAGGCCAAUCAAACCGGGAGAUAGCUGGUUCUCCCCGAAAGCUAUUUAGGUAGCGCCUCGUGAAUUCAUCUCCGGGGGUAGAGCACUGUUUCGGCUAGGGGGCCAUCCCGGCUUACCAACCCGAUGCAAACUGCGAAUACCGGAGAAUGUUAUCACGGGAGACACACGGCGGGUGCUAACGUCCGUCGUGAAGAGGGAAACAACCCAGACCGCCAGCUAAGGUCCCAAAGUCAUGGUUAAGUGGGAAACGAUGUGGGAAGGCCCAGACAGCCAGGAUGUUGGCUUAGAAGCAGCCAUCAUUUAAAGAAAGCGUAAUAGCUCACUGGUCGAGUCGGCCUGCGCGGAAGAUGUAACGGGGCUAAACCAUGCACCGAAGCUGCGGCAGCGACACUGUGUGUUGUUGGGUAGGGGAGCGUUCUGUAAGCCUGUGAAGGUGGCCUGUGAGGGUUGCUGGAGGUAUCAGAAGUGCGAAUGCUGACAUAAGUAACGAUAAAGCGGGUGAAAAGCCCGCUCGCCGGAAGACCAAGGGUUCCUGUCCAACGUUAAUCGGGGCAGGGUGAGUCGACCCCUAAGGCGAGGCCGAAAGGCGUAGUCGAUGGGAAACAGGUUAAUAUUCCUGUACUUGGUGUUACUGCGAAGGGGGGACGGAGAAGGCUAUGUUGGCCGGGCGACGGUUGUCCCGGUUUAAGCGUGUAGGUGUGUGUUCCAGGUAAAUCCGGUUCACUUUAACACUGAGGCGUGACGACGAGGCACUACGGUGCUGAAGCAACAAAUGCCCUGCUUCCAGGAAAAGCCUCUAAGCAUCAGGUAACAUCAAAUCGUACCCCAAACCGACACAGGUGGUCAGGUAGAGAAUACCAAGGCGCUUGAGAGAACUCGGGUGAAGGAACUAGGCAAAAUGGUGCCGUAACUUCGGGAGAAGGCACGCUGACACGUAGGUGAAGUGAUUUACUCAUGGAGCUGAAGUCAGUCGAAGAUACCAGCUGGCUGCAACUGUUUAUUAAAAACACAGCACUGUGCAAACACGAAAGUGGACGUAUACGGUGUGACGCCUGCCCGGUGCCGGAAGGUUAAUUGAUGGGGUCAGCGCAAGCGAAGCUCCUGAUCGAAGCCCCGGUAAACGGCGGCCGUAACUAUAACGGUCCUAAGGUAGCGAAAUUCCUUGUCGGGUAAGUUCCGACCUGCACGAAUGGCGUAAUGAUGGCCAGGCUGUCUCCACCCGAGACUCAGUGAAAUUGAACUCGCUGUGAAGAUGCAGUGUACCCGCGGCAAGACGGAAAGACCCCGUGAACCUUUACUAUAGCUUGACACUGAACAUUGAGCCUUGAUGUGUAGGAUAGGUGGGAGGCUUUGAAGUGUGGACGCCAGUCUGCAUGGAGCCGACCUUGAAAUACCACCCUUUAAUGUUUGAUGUUCUAACGUGGACCCGUUACCCGGGUUGCGGACAGUGUCUGGUGGGUAGUUUGACUGGGGCGGUCUCCUCCUAAAGAGUAACGGAGGAGCACGAAGGUUGGCUAAUCCUGGUCGGACAUCAGGAGGUUAGUGCAAUGGCAUAAGCCAGCUUGACUGCGAGCGUGACGGCGCGAGCAGGUGCGAAAGCAGGUCAUAGUGAUCCGGUGGUUCUGAAUGGAAGGGCCAUCGCUCAACGGAUAAAAGGUACUCCGGGGAUAACAGGCUGAUACCGCCCAAGAGUUCAUAUCGACGGCGGUGUUUGGCACCUCGAUGUCGGCUCAUCACAUCCUGGGGCUGAAGUAGGUCCCAAGGGUAUGGCUGUUCGCCAUUUAAAGUGGUACGCGAGCUGGGUUUAGAACGUCGUGAGACAGUUCGGUCCCUAUCUGCCGUGGGCGCUGGAGAACUGAGGGGGGCUGCUCCUAGUACGAGAGGACCGGAGUGGACGCAUCACUGGUGUUCGGGUUGUCAUGCCAAUGGCACUGCCCGGUAGCUAAAUGCGGAAGAGAUAAGUGCUGAAAGCAUCUAAGCACGAAACUUGCCCCGAGAUGAGUUCUCCCUGAGACUUAGAGUCUCCUGAAGGAACGUUGAAGACGACGACGUUGAUAGGCCGGGUGUGUAAGCGCAGCGAUGCGUUGAGCUAACCGGUACUAAUGAACCGUGAGGCUUAACCUUACAACGCCGAAG
rnacentral:rRNA from 1 species